GCCGGCGUAGCUCAGUUUAGGUAGAGCGCUCGGCUGUUAACCGAGUGGUCCGAGGUUCGAAUCCUCGCGCCGGCG
rnacentral:tRNA from 5 species